GUCUACGGCCAUGCCACCCUGAACAAACCCAAUGUCUGAUCUUGGAAACUAAGCAGGGUUGGUCCUGGUUAGUACUUGGAUGGGAGACCACCUAGGAAGGCCAAAGUGCUGUAGGCA
rnacentral:rRNA from 1 species